rnacentral:lncRNA from 1 species
CUCAAAAGUUUUGGCUUUCCUUCAUCCACAUCACCUUCAGCCACACCAACAAACUUUUCCCAUCCACACACUCCGAUUUAUGAAGGAAAUUUCCUCUCUCCCAUUCAAUUUCCUUUUCAUUCAAUUUCUUUGUUCCUCUGGUGAGUGAGUGAGAGUCGAGGAAUCGAUGAGAGGGAGGAGUGGGGCUGUUCGAGCUCGACGCCGGGCUGUCAAGGCUGCGACUGCCGGCGCUGCAUGCGUGGCAGCAGCCCGCCGGCCGCUCGCGGCCAAGGCAGACGGAGUCGGGGCACGGCGGCACGGCCGAAGGCCAGGCGCCGCUGACGCAGAGUGAACGGAGCAGCAGCAGCAGCAGCGACGGCCCUCCUUGGCCGUCCGCUGCCGAAAGCGCGAGAGAGAGGUGAGGGAGGACGGCGAGAAGUGAGGGGUGAAAGGGAGAUAAGA